AAGGUGAGCAAUUUCAAUUUAUAGGGUUAUUGAAUUGAGAUUUUUAGUUUUUCAUUAUAUUGGAGUUGAGUUUGGUAUUUUGUUUAGGUUUUAUUAUAUUAAUUAUCAUAAGCUUCUUUGAGAUUACAAGAUUUUCUUGGACACAUUACUGCAAUACAGGAGUUAGAACAAAAAGUGGCUGAUUAGAAGGCUUGAAAACAAGUGUGAAAUUACAUUCAAAAUAUUAGCAUGUUAACAAAUCAUCUUCAAAAGUUGUAAAUACAAUAUUUCUUACUAAUUUUUUUUGUUUAUAUAUUCUACGUGUUUAUACAGAAUUAAAAAAUGGUUAUAAUUGGAAUAUUACGCUUAAUCUUCUUUUGGUAUGUGUUUGAUUUUCUUUUGUUGGGUGUGUUUUGUGGCUCAUCAGAAACAGUUAGCAAGUGAAACCUAUAACCAAAGGCUUAUUUAUUUUUUCCAAAUGGUUUUAAUCUAUUGUAGGUAAACGGGAGCUACUAUGCUGUUUAUGCAGUAAGGUUCACCAUCAGCUGUAGAUACGAGCAGCAUGGCAAAGUUAAAGUAUGCGUAAAUGGCAAGAGUUUUUGCCUCAACUGGAAAUUGUAGCGUGUGUAACUAUACUGGGACAUGUAAUGAGCAGAAAUGUUUAAGUAGCUGUGGGGAGGUAAUAAACAUGUUUACUUUUGGCCUAUGCUUACUCUAGGGUAAUUGACAAACUGGUUAAUUACACACGAAGCUAAAAACUUUUGGCCAACAAACUGAUUCUCAUGCCCUGCCACAUGCUUAAACACAUCAGAGUAAUUGAGAGCUAAUUGUACAAUUUUUAUGAUUUAGGGCUUGCAUUCAUUAAAAUGGAAACACAUUCUAAAUUAGGAUUCAUAACAUUGUCUUACAAAAAUUCCAAAUGGAAAGCAGUCCAUACCUUCAUUAGAAGGGAAACUGAAAGUAUAUAAAUUAUGAAGUGCAUAAACCUCAGUUUUAAAUAUGACAACAUGAUAAUGCAUUUCAGUGCAUAUAAAUGUAGUUCCACAAAUUAGGCUCCAUCUGAAUGCAAUUGGUUUCUCAGCUAGAUUGCCAUGGAUGAAGUAUGAUGUUUUAUUAACCGCAUCUAAUGAUCUUACUUAUGGAUUGCAGGAAGAAGUUAUCAAGUUAAAAGAACAAUUUAGCCAUUUGAAAAGUUUGGUAAGCUCUUGCCUUGGUUUAUGUUCAAGCUUGAGCUUCUUAGUUGGCCGUCAAUCGCUAUAUUUUCAUUCAUUUAUUUGGGAUGUGGUGGCACUGUUGAUGCCAUUGCUAUGAAUCCCAGGAUUUUACAUCUCAGAUUUCACUUUUGACAGUUUCAAAUUGGUGCUUUAACUUUUUUUUCCCCUUAAUUUCGUAAAGUUUAGGCCUUUUCUUAAAAUUUAAAUAAAAGAAAUAUCUUUCUGGUAUUGGUUAGUUUUGAUCUUGAUAUUAUUUGGGUUUUGUGUUAGUGGGGAUGACGGUCUUGCGCAAUGUUAGCCGUUCGUGGCUCACCGGAAAACCCCCUGAUUGGGCUUUAUUAGGAGGGAACUCAUAAUGUAGUAGAUAUUCCUCAAUGCAAAGGUCCCAAUCCUAAUGACUUUAUAUUUGAUAUUUAAUCCUUGAAUUAGUGUUAAAUUCUAUAUUCUUUUUGUUUAAUUUGUGCGUGUUUUUUUUUUUUUUUUUCUGUUUUCCAAGUAUAAAUGCUGCCGUGGAGCUGCUUAAACAAGGUCUCUUUUCGGUUAUUAAAACUCAAUGUUACCUGCUUUCACUUCCAGUUUUUGAGUCUUCUAUUUGUUUGUUUGCUGCAAUUAUUCAACUUAUGCUGCUAUAAUAUUUGUUUCCUUCUGUUUUGUCCUCUGCAUUAACUACCAUUUGGAUCAUGUGAAUGACAACUUUCAUGUAUAUUUCGAAUAAUGAGCAGUUUAUUGCUGUUAAUCUUUUGAUCACUGUAUAUGUUGCUAAUUUACCUUCUCAAACAACGUACAUGUAAACAUUGAUAUAUAAAACUUAUUUAUAUGUUAGUAGUAUGGUUUCUUUACUUUUUGAGUUUGGUUGAACAACAGCAUUGUCUACUUUCUAGAGUUCAUCCUCUUUAUUUUAGCCCAGGCCGACUCACUCCACUCUAUUUGAAGCUCACAACUUUUUCGAACAAAUUGCUCAAAAAUUCCUGCUCUCAAACAUCUUAGAUCCCUCACUCACCCUUCUGGAAUCGACGCCCCAAAGGUAUAUUUCUCUCAUUGCUUUCAAAAUUCUGUAUAUAUAUAUAGCUGACAUGUAUUAAGACAUUCACAUAUGGUAGAACUAAAGGGACGGUAGAAUGCUCGAAUAAUGGAAUAGAGUUGAG
rnacentral:lncRNA from 1 species